rnacentral:rRNA from 1 species
AGUCGACGCCCCGCAGGGGAGUGGCAGACGGGUGAGUAACGCGUGGGAAUCUACCCAACCCUGCGGAAUAGCUCUGGGAAACUGGAAUUAAUACCGCAUACGCCCUACGGGGGAAAGAUUUAUCGGGGAUGGAUGAGCCCGCGUUGGAUUAGCUAGUUGGUGGGGUAAAGGCCUACCAAGGCGACGAUCCAUAGCUGGUCUGAGAGGAUGAUCAGCCACAUUGGGACUGAGACACGGCCCAAACUCCUACGGGAGGCAGCAGUGGGGAAUAUUGGACAAUGGGCGCAAGCCUGAUCCAGCCAUGCCGCGUGAGUGAUGAAGGCCUUAGGGUUGUAAAGCUCUUUCACCGGUGAAGAUAAUGACGGUAACCGGAGAAGAAGCCCCGGCUAACUUCGUGCCAGCAGCCGCGGUAAUACGAAGGGGGCUAGCGUUGUUCGGAAUUACUGGGCGUAAAGCGCACGUAGGCGGAUAUUUAAGUCAGGGGUGAAAUCCCAGAGCUCAACUCUGGAACUGCCUUUGAUACUGGGUAUCUUGAGUAUGGA